rnacentral:rRNA from 1 species
AUUGAACGCUAGCGGGAUGCUUUACACAUGCAAGUCGAACGAGUGGCGGCCGUGUGAGUAAUAUAUCGGCCCGUGCCCAGUAGCUGGGGAUACCUACUCGACAGAGUGUCUAAUACCGCAUACUCUUGGAGCGGCCGAUAUCGGAUUAGAUAGUUGGUGGGGUAAAGGCUCACAAAGGCAACGCUCCGUCGCUGGUUUGAGAGGACGACCAGCCACACUGGGACUGGGACACGGACCAGACACCUACGGUAGGCAGCAGUGGGGAAUUGUAGACAAAGGGGGAAACCCUGAUCCAGCCAUCCCGCGUGUAUGAGAAGGCCUUCGGGUUGUAAAGUACUUUCAGUCGGGAGGCGUUACCGAAAGAAGAAGCACCAGCUAACUCCGUGCCGGCAGCCGCGGUAAUAC